UACGAAGGGGGCUAGCGUUGCUCGGAAUCACUGGGCGUAAAGGGUGCGUAGGCGGGUCUUUAAGUCAGGGGUGAAAUCCUGGAGCUCAACUCCAGAACUGCCUUUGAUACUGAGGAUCUUGAGUUCGGGAGAGGUGAGUGGAACUCCGAGUGUAGAGGUGAAAAUUCGUAGAUAUUCGGAAGAACACCAGUGGCGAAGGCGACUCACUGGCCCGAUACUGACGCUGAGGCGCGAAAGCGUGGGGAGCAAACAGG
rnacentral:rRNA from 1 species